UACGAAGGGGGCUAGCGUUGCUCGGAAUCACUGGGCGUAAAGCGCACGUAGGCGGAUUGCUAAGUCAGGGGUGAAAUCCUGGAGCUCAACUCCAGAACUGCCCUUGAUACUGGCGGUCUCGAGUCCGGGAGAGGUGAGUGGAACUGCGAGUGUAGAGGUGAAAUUCGUAGAUAUUCGCAAGAACACCAGUGGCGAAGGCGGCUCACUGGCCCGGUACUGACGCUGAGGUGCGAGAGCGUGGGGAGCAAACCGG
rnacentral:rRNA from 1 species